ACUCAUGCUCAGUCAAUGUGGUAUUCGUCGAGUUGACGUCAAAACUCCCAAAAACUUCGACAGACUAGGCUGUAUAGGCUACGCUCUUUGCCUGCUUAUUGGUGAAUUUAAAAACAACAACAACAAUAUCGUUGCCGGCUUCCGGAUUUUCAUUUCAUUUUAUUAUUAUUAUUAUGAGGAUAUAAUAAUAAUAAAAUGUACGUAAGGGCUUAUUUCUAACAACAAUAACCACAAUUAACUUAUUUAAUACUGUAAAUAAUUAUGAGAGCGAUUAUUGAUUUCGAAGAAAACAAUUAACAACUUAAUUUUAGCUGCAGAAAAAAACAGAUUUCUCUUAAACCUGGGUCUAGAAUUUACUCCCGUUCACUGCAAUUCCUGAACGCUAUGACAUGACCUACUUCGAACGAACUUUAAAUGACUUAUAAGCGGUUGGCAUCGGCUUGGCUGUCGUUGGCAUUGUUGAUGUCUAAGACCAAGAAUAACCACUUCCAAUAAGGUAAUCUAAGCCUUCUAUCUAAGGAAACUGUGAAGUAAAUUAUUUUAACAGCUUGAAAAUAUUUCAUAUGUUACGCUGUUACAUUUUAGCAAUGCUCCAAUAUUGACUUUCAAACGAAGGUAGAGUUGUGGUCACUACGGUAUGUAAUAAUAUAAUAGCUCUCAGUGAAAAAUUAUUCUAUUCAUACUUAUGCUUUUUUUAAAACAAAAUGUAAUUCUAAAAAAGUGUGUCUUUUUAAUAGGUUUCUCUAAUUCUAUAAAUGAGAGAGAAAAGAACCUAGAUUUAAAUAGCGUCUGAUUGAGAAAGCGAAUACGUAUCGAUAGUCCCUCCGAAAAGUUCAUGUUUUCCACCAAAUUUCACUGGGACAUUAAUUAAUUUCAUCCAAACUUAGGUUACAUUUAAUUCAAUUCCCAUAAUCAUUUUUUAAGGAUUGAAGGCUUACUGGUGGCCCGGAGGCCUUUCCAGUUUCACCAGGACAGGUGGGCGAGCAAAGGCUCAGCCAGGAGGGGUGGGAUUGGCUAACAGCUGCCGAAGCGCCUCCGAAGGAGACCUAACAAUUGAAAAGAGCAGCUCUUCGCGAAUGAAUCUACUACCGGAUCGGAAUCGCGGCCCGCUGAGAAGUUCCGGCGAGAAACUCAGGCUGCACGUCGAACUCUUUGUCGAGUUUGACAAGUACGGUUACCGUAGUCCAUAAGCCGGCUCCCAGAGAUCCCAAGAUCAAUUUUAGAUUGACCAAUUUCAUUUCCUUCUAUCACAACACACUUGAUAUAGCAAAGUGUGUAAUACAAUACUACAAGAAUUAGCUUAGAAACUAGAACGCAGCCAUUUAUUACCCAGUUAUUUAACAAAAACAGAAUAUUCUAUAAUGUAGAUUGUGUGUGGUGGACCUCUAACUAGCUAAUUCCACUUCGCACUAAAUAUAUUAAGUACGUUCAUUAAAUAAGAUCGCAGUAGGUAUAACCACAAAAAUUUAUAUUAAGUUAAAUAAAUAAGUAUCGUUUUCCGUAUGUUAUUAUAACCAAAUAUGAUUGACUCAGCGGUGCGGUCGUUAGCGCUCCUGAUUCCUAGGCAGAGAUCCGUGGGUUCGAAUCCUUCAUCGAGCAAACAUUUAUGUGAUGAACAGCGCCCCUAGCAGAAAACGUAGGCACAUGUACCAACUCCAUACAAAUUUGACUUAACUUUUACGCUAUCGAGAACGUUAAGAAACUCGCACUAAGCACACACGUUUGUUUGCUCUUUGCCUGGGUGUUUAUUAUGCAUAUAUUAAAACCUAUUUAUGUUCACAUAGUACAAGGAAUACUAGUUCUGAAAACUGUUCUUGUAUUAUUAUUAUAUCUUUGCUACGGCACAGGGAAUGAUGACUUUACAGCCUGUUUAUAGUAAAAUCCGUCAAGUCCAUAAAGAAUUAGACAUGCAAUAACGAAAAAUCAUUAAAUAUUACAUUACAGCUUAACCUGAUGCAGUCGGGUAACAAAGUCAGAUUAUAAUGUCGAUAAGAUUAAUUAACGAUAAAUUUUCAUAUUUCUGAUAUCGUAUCCAAUUCAUUCGAUUAACGAUUGAAUAUUUCACAAUUUAAAGCACAAUUUUAAAGUAGACAAAGAUUUACAAAUAUGAGUGAAUGUAAGGCACUGUAAUGGAAAUUGUAUGCACGAUUUACCUUUGUUGAAUCCCAGAUGUACAGUGCAUGUGAUGUUAGUGAACUGUAUGUCCACGGGAUCCCUUGUGGGCAUCUUGGAGAACCCUUGCGUCGUCAGCUGCGGCUCGGGGUUGGCCCCUAUCGAAACCGAUGCAUUUUCUGGCCUGUACGACACACUGUCUUCAACGAUUUGCGCUCCGGCGAGCAUCAUUUUAACUAAUAUCGUUUGUAAGCGCGUACGCAGUGUUGGCGAAUGCGUCGCGCGGCUGUGUGCGCGCGCCUUUGAUCACGUCUCAGCACUGACUGGACUAGUACACUUAGCACAGCACUAUCGCACCCUUUGUCCGUGCUUGGUAAUUAAUUGCACACGCAUUCAUACUCGCGCCAAUUAAUUAAAUGCGCUCGAUUGUUUUGCUUUCGUACAGUACAGAGCAAUGGAUGCCGUGGCGGUGUGUGUGGGUUGCGUAUUCAAAACAAUGUCCUUUAUUUAUUUAAGUGUGUCCGUCCGGUGAGACAAAGGUGAUGAGUGAAUGAAGAAAUUGUAAACAAAGGAUUCUUGUGCGUGAAGCGGUGUACUAGAGUGUAACCAACCGACGUUGCUGAUGAUAACGCUAAAGAUAGAUAAUCUCGUUUUGUGUUAUCGGAAUUUUUGCUUCUGAAAAGCAACGUUUCUCGUUGGCAUUGAACCCUCGCGAUACGUCAUCAGCGCACAGCUGAUUUAUGAAUGCUGUUUAUGUUUUUAUUAUGUAUAUAUAUACGCUGUUUAAAAAAUGAGUAAUGUAUAUAUUAUUCUUUCCUCAUUACUGCAGUCGAUUGUUAUUGAAAACAAUGUUUGGAUUUUAAAAUGAUUCAAAGAUUAAUAUGUAUAAUAUCUAAGUAAGUAGUAUUGGUAUUAGUAUUAGUGAGUUUUAAAUUGCAAAAAGUUUUCCGUAGCUUUUCCGAAGCAGUCCCAACUCUAAGUUAACCUUUACGCGAUUGAGAUUUUUUUUUAAACUCGGACUAAGCACACAUGAGUAUAUAUCGCAUGAGCGAAAGUCUGGGCUCGGCAGUAAGAUGAAAGGUAGUCUACAUUAUUCCCUAAGGUACAAAGUCCAUACCUAAAUUCAUCAAAAUCAAUUCAGUAGUAUGGACGCGGAAAUUUAAACAGACAGGGUUGCUUUUUUUUAUUGCCCUUGUAGGCAGACGGCCCACCUGGUGGUGAGUAGUUACCGUCGCCCAUGGACUUCAGCAAUGCCAGGGGCAGAGCCAAGUCGCUGCCUACCGUUAAGUACUCUCCACGAGCCUCGUUUCAAGGAUAUGUCAUAGCGCUCGGGAAACACCGUGGAGGGGAGCUUAUUCCAAAGCCGGAUGGUACGUGGCAAAAAAGAUCUCUGGAAACGCACUGUGGAUGAACGCAGUGGCUCCAGGUAGUAUGGAUGAACUCUACUCCGGUGGCGGGCGGUGCGAUGAUAAAAACCAGAUGAUGGUAUCAUCUCAAACAAUUUUUCAGAGCACUCCCCUGAUUUCGUAUUAGUAAUGAUUUCGCUAUAUAACUUCUAAAAUCCAACAGUGUAAUAGAAAAAAAAAGACAUUAUUAAAUACAGCGGUUUGGUACCGUUUAAGUUUUUCAGGGUACAAGAUAUUCUGUAAGUACACAUUCUGUUGUUUAUUGCGUACUAUAUAGGUAUGUUUUUACAAUGUAAUAGCUACUAUGUCUUUAAGUGGUAUGAAAUAAAACUAUUUAAUAUUC